rnacentral:pre_miRNA from 1 species
UCUUAUGGAUGAACAGAGAAGGUAGUUUCUUGAGAGGUAAUCUACCCUUGGUGAAGAUGCUGUGAC